AGCGAACGCUGGCGGCAGGCCUAACACAUGCAAGUCGAACGAAGCCUUCGGACUUAGUGGCGGACGGGUGAGUAACACGUGGGAACGUACCUUUUGGUUCGGAACAACUCAGGGAAACUUGAGCUAAUACCGGAUGAGCCCUUAGGGGGAAAGAUUUAUCGCCGAAAGAGCGGCCCGCGUUAGAUUAGCUAGUUGGUGAGGUAAAGGCUCACCAAGGCUACGAUCUAUAGCUGGUCUGAGAGGAUGAUCAGCCACACUGGGACUGAGACACGGGCCAGACUCCUACGGGAGGCAGCAGUGGGGAAUCUUGCGCAAUGGGCGAAAGCCUGACGCAGCCAUGCCGCGUGAAUGAUGAAGGUCUUAGGAUUGUAAAAUUCUUUUACCAGGGACGAUAAUGACGGUACCUGGAGAAAAAGCCCCGGCUAACUUCGUGCCAGCAGCCGCGGUAAUAC
rnacentral:rRNA from 1 species